AGAGUUUGAUCCUGGCUCAGAGCGAACGCUGGCGGAAUGCUUAACACAUGCAAGUCGCACGGGGGCUUCGGCUCGAGUGGCGGACGGGUGAGUAACGCGUAGGAACGUGUCUUGGGGUGGGGGAUAACGCUGGGAAACUGGCGCUAAUACCGCAUAUGGGCUGAGGCCCAAAGCCUUCGGGUGCCUUGAGAGCGGCCUGCGUCCGAUUAGCUAGUUGGUGGGGUAAAGGCUUACCAAGGCUUCGAUCGGUAGCUGGUCUGAGAGGACGACCGGCCACAUUGGGACUGAGAUACGGCCCAGACUCCUACGGGAGGCAGCAGUGGGGAAUCUUGCGCAAUGGGCGAAAGCCUGACGCAGCGACGCCGCGUGGGGGAGGAAGCUUUUCGGAGUGUAAACCCCUGUCAGGAGGGAAGAACGGUCUUGGGAGGAAAUGCCUGAGAUUUGACGGUACCUCCAGAGGAAGCACCGGCUAACUCUGUGCCAGCAGCCGCGGUAAUACAGAGGGUGCGAGCGUUGUUCGGAAUUACUGGGCGUAAAGCGCGCGUAGGCGGUCGUUUAAGUCUUACCGUGAAAUGCCGGGGCUCAACCCCGCGCACGUCGGGGGAUACUGGACGACUGGAGACAAGUAGAGGCGAGCGGAAUUCCGGGUGUAGCGGUGGAAUGCGUAGAGAUCCGGAAGAACACCAGAGGCGAAGGCGGCUCGCUGGGCUUCUGNNNNUGAGGCGCGAAAGCGUGGGGAGCGAACAGGAUUAGAUACCCUAGUAGUCC
rnacentral:rRNA from 1 species